rnacentral:rRNA from 1 species
GACGAACGCUGGCGGCGUGCUUAACACAUGCAAGUCGAACGAUGAACUUGGAGCUUGCUCUGGGGGAUUAGUGGCGAACGGGUGAGUAACACGUGAGUAACCUGCCCUGGACUCUGGGAUAACUUCGAGAAAUCGGAGCUAAUACCGGAUAGGACCUUGCACCGCAUGGUGUGGGGUGGAAAGUUUUUCGGUUUGGGAUGGACUCGCGGCCUAUCAGCUUGUUGAUGAGGUAAUGGCUCACCAAGGCGUCGACGGGUAGCCGGCCUGAGAGGGUGACCGGCCACACUGGGACUGAGACACGGCCCAGACUCCUACGGGAGGCAGCAGUGGGGAAUAUUGCACAAUGGGCGCAAGCCUGAUGCAGCAACGCCGCGUGCGGGAUGACGGCCUUCGGGUUGUAAACCGCUUUUAGUAGGGAAGAAGCCUUCGGGUGACGGUACCUGCAGAAAAAGGACCGGCUGACUACGUGCCAGCCGCCGCCGUAAUAC